ensembl:lncRNA
AAAGCUGACUGUUUUUGUUUGGAUGAAUUGCCUCCUAUCUUGGUCAUAAAUACUAGAUGAAAUGUUUUGUGGCUGAAACCAGAUAACAUAUUGUUUUUUUUUUAAUUUUCCCAAAUUUUCUACUCCACAGGUAAUGUCUCCACACAGGAACUAUCUUCGAAUAAAGCAUACAUUUUUCUACCUCUAACUUCACAAAAACUUGCCAGGCAUCAAAGAAAUGAGGGACUACCUGUUACAGAAGACCCAGGGUAUAUCUCCACAACUGCAAUUUCACAAAAACCCACAAGGCGACAAAGGGUAGAAGAACUGCCUGUUACCGAAGACCCAGGUUAUGUUUCAACCCAAGAAGUGAGUACCCCUCACAGUAAUGCAAGUAAACCCUACGAACAACCAGUAACGAAGGAAAUAACAACCGUGGCAACGGCUAGCAUAGCCAAAGACGAGCAUUUGACCACCCAAACCCACUCUGAGAUCUCAACGCAGGCACCAGGAAAAGACGGAUCAAGAGAUCGGGUAACCCACGCUCUCUCCGGACCAGGUAAGUUGACAACUUGCAUGUGGACAAAAAUCGCACGUAAUUCUCCUUAUUUGCCAAUAGAGGUCCCCAUUUUUCUUCUUAUGAGGGUUGCUUUAAGUGGGCCACAGAGUUUGCAACAUGGUUCUUCCCUUCUUAAAAAUGGUGCCUUUUCUAUGAGACAUCAGAAAAUGGCCAUAAGUUACAUGAUAAAUAAACAAUCUUAA